CGGGUAUCCAGUUUGGUUUUAUCAUUGAGUGUAGUGGAGGACUGACUGCAGACUGGCUCCCUCUCCUCUCAUACUCGACCCAACAGCUCUACUUUGUCCCGUAAAGAUCCGCAGGGCACAAUCAUGGAGGAAAUGGACUUUGAGCGGCGCCGGGAGCUGAGGAGGCAGAAGCGGGAGGAGAUGCGCCUUGAGGCUGAACGGAUGGCGAGGAAUGAGGACGAUGAAGAGGAGGCGGCCAGAGAGAGGAGGCGCCGGGCACGCCAAGAGAGGCUGAUGAACAGAGAGAGCGAGGAGCACAGCGGACAGCCGGACAGCCUGGUCAUGACCAACAGCCACAGCGUGACCGAAACUGUGACCAGCUCUUACGGAGGACUCGGGGGCGGAGAAGAAGAGGACCAAGCCUUGCAGGAGCGCAUGGCCAAACGCGAGGAGAGGCGGCAGAGACGCAUGAAGGAGGCUCUGGAGAGGCAGAGACAGCUGGACCUGGAGUCCACGACCACAGAGGGCAGCAACAACAACAGCAGCAGCCUCGCCACGGAGAAAAACAGCGCAGAGGAGGAGAGGCCUUCCUCCUGGCGCAGGGGUCGUUACCGUGACAUGGAGGAAGAGGAGGUGAAGACGGAGAGGUACAGCUCCAGGAGAGAGGAGCGAGAGGAGCCGAGGGAGGAGGAGGAGGCUGCUCCUGAGGUUGAGGAGGAAGCAGAUGAGGGUGUAGAGGAAGAGGAGGAGCAGCAAGAGGAAGAGGUGGAGGAGAAAUCAAGGAGGUCUUACAUGAGAGAAAAGGAAUCAUCAGAAGAACCUAAAAGUGAAACUAAGGACCUCGCUGAGGAAGAAACACACUCGAUAGUCAGUGAGAGUUCAAACCAGGCCAAGUCAGCUAAUUCAGAGGCCGUGGAGGAUGCAGUAGCAUCAGAGGAGUCUGGAGAGGUACCUGAAGAUGAUUGUGUAGAUUCAGAGAACAAGUCUGUGGCACUCAGAAAUGAGAGCGAAGAAGACAAAGAGGUAUCUGAGAUACUGCACUCAGAAGAUAAUGAGGUGGAGGAGAGAGGCGGGGCCAGGGACGAGCAGAGGAAGCAGAACGGAGGACUGCACGAGGAGGAGACUCCUAAACAGCACAGGAAACCUGAGAGGACUCUCAGCCGCAGCAGCGUACGUUCCCCCGAGGUGUCCGCGGGUGAAGACCAGGACGAAGACGCCCGCCUGGAGGCAGAGCGCAAGCUGGAGGAGCUGAAGCGCCGCCGUGACGACGCGGAGAGCGAGGAGUUUGAGAGGAUGAGGCAGAAGCAGCAGGAGGCCGAAGCUGAGCUGGAGGAGCUGAAGAGGAAGAGGGAGGAGAGGAGGAAGGUGCUGGAGGAGGAGGAGAGGCAGAAGAAGCAGGAGGAGGCGGAGAGGAAAGCCAGAGAGGAGGAGGAGAAGAGGAAGAUGAAGGAGGAGAUUGAGAGGAGGAGAGCAGAGGCAGCUGAGAAGAGACAGAAGGUGGAGGACUCGAUGGACGGAGAGGAGCAGCCCUUCAAGUGUGUCAGCCCUCGGGGCUCCUCUCUGAAGAUCGGAGAGAGAGCAGAGUUCCUGAACAAGUCUGCACAGAAAAGCACGGUGAAGGCAGCUCAUUCUCCUGUGGUGUCCAAGAUAGACAACAGGCUGGAGCAGUACACUUCAGCCGCUCAGAGAGAGAACAAGGAGUCCCGAUCCCCUCGCUCCGGAGCCGUGGAUCUGCCCCUGGGUACCGACAGCAUACGAAACAUCAAGAGCAUGUGGGAGAAAGGCAACGUCUUCAGCUCGCCUGGAAGUGGCGGGAGCACAUUCAAGGAAGCAGCUGUGAUGAAGACAGGCGUGGCAGGCCGCAUCAACGACUGGCUGAAUAAAACCCCGGAGAGCGGCAAGACGUCAGGAGGAAGGCCAACGGUGCUCCGCCAUUUGUCACAAUGCACUUUAACACUGACAGACGAAUGCAGAGCAGCGAGCAUGGCUGAUAUGAUGCCUUGUUUUCUGUGUCUGUGUGACAGGACCUGAAGCCCGUUGAUGUCACCAACAAGAGGAGUCUAUGGGAAAACAAAGGAGCCUCUCCAACCAAGGUGGCGGGCAGAGGAGAGACCAAAUCAGUUGCUAACGGUAUGGGACAUUAAUGUCUUGAAGGAGCCACUAAAGCAGGGGACCACGACAAUCUGAGAUUCUUCCUUUUGACUCUGGAAAAAACAUAAAGACCACAUUCCCAAGAAGGACCCCGCGGACGGCAGAGACGCUGUCCAAGCACUGUACUGAAACAGCAUCUUUUUUUGUACGGUUGCCACGUAUAGUGCCUUUGCACAAUGAUUUUUCUUUUAUUGCUUUCUAAAAGAAACAAAAUGCUGUGAAAUUGGGACAUUUGUAAUAACUUUACUCUUUUAUAACCUUCCAGAACAAAAAUUAGAUUCAUCUGAGAGUUUUUUAGGUGACAAGUAGAUGAAAUUAAAGCUUCCACAUUCCAUAGAGAUGGGUGAAAUCGGUUCUCUCCCUCAGACAGUACAUCCUCCAUCUCUAUUUUUUAAAAAUAAUUUAUAUUUAAAGCAAAAGCUUCACACAUUCCUAUUUUAUUCAAUGUUCACCAGUUCAGGAUAGAAUUAUAAGCACUUCUAGAAUUUAGCUGAAUUCACUUUUAUUAUGUCUUACCAAUAGUGCAGCAAUGGUCUGAGUAAUAUAUGUUAGCACAUGUGAUGUUUUAAAUACCAUACUGUAUCUUAUAUAACAUCUUUAUACUCAUAACAAAAAUGUUUUUGCUAUUUGUAUCCAGAAACUUUUCACAAACAGGCAGAUGAUGGAGUGUCAAAGAAGGCCAUUAUGACUUUUAUAAUCCACUAUGUCUUUUUUUAUUUAUGUUUUAAUGUCCUUUUAUAUUUCUAGCUGUUUUUUAGCUUUUGUACUCACUUUAAAAUCUUCAGACAUUCCUCAAGCAGUUGCACAAGGUGCCUUGGCUGCUUUAAAGCUGUAGCUUUUUAAUGUAGGAAGCUUCUUUACUGCCUCUAUGCACACUCUUAUGCUUUUAAAUUAAGGCAUUCGAUUUUAAAUCCACAGCAUAUAGCAAGAAACGUAAGGAUAUUUACCACUAUGUAACUCUUCUGGACGUAUGAUUGCAGUAAAAGCCUUUCUGACAGCAGAGGCACAGUCACGAUGGCCUCAAAGCAGCACAGUAUAUUAAGAGUUUCUUCCUCACUGACACGGCCUUAGGCAGCACAUUCCUUCUCAAAGUUUUUGCACAAUGCAAGACGGUUUUCUGGGGCAUUAAAUUGACCAAUGUUUCUGCUCAAAAGUCUGACAAUCACAUUCCACAGCCCCUGAAAAAGAGCAGGGGGGCUUGACCAAAACAUUUUGAAGUGUGAUGUAAUGUGACAUUGUUGUUUUGUAAUACAGUGGUUUCAUAAUGCCGUAUUGUUCUCCCUUUUUUUUACAUCUUUGUGUCCAUUUUAUGUUCCUUUUAUUCCAUGUUUAACCAGACACUUGUUGUUUGUGUAGCGCUAAGCCUAUGCAAAUCACACUAUCUGUAGUCUCUCUAAGCACUCCCAAUGUCACACAAGUGGGCAGUUUCCAACUGGAUGAAUGUUUAAAACAUUGUACCCAUGACUCAACAACAGCAAUAAAGACAUUGAGGUAUUCA